rnacentral:rRNA from 1 species
ACACGUAGGGGGCGAGCGUUGUUCGGAAUCAUUGGGCGUAAAGGGCGCGCAGGCGGCGAGGCAAGUCCGGUGUGAAAGUGCUCGGCUCAACCGAGUGAUGCGCUGGAAACUGCCCUGCUUGAGUACAGGAGGGGACGUCGGAAUUCCAGGUGUAGGGGUGAAAUCUGUAGAUAUCUGGAAGAACACCGGUGGCGAAGGCGGACGUCUGGCCAUGUACUGACGCUGAGGCGCGAAGGUGCGGGGAGCGAACAGGUUUAGAUACCCUGGUAGGCCGCACAGUAAACGAUGUGCACCAGGUGGCGGGGGGUAGCCCUCGGUACCGAAGCCAACGCAUUAAGUGCACCGCCUGGGGAGUAUGCUCGCAAGGGUGAAACUCAAAGGAAUUGGCGGG